AGAAGAAUGCUUUUUAAAAAUAUUAACUACGAGACAAAACUUUUUAUAAAAGGGAUUAUUUCUGGAUUACUAUUUGCUACCGGCUGGUGGUUAUGGAUGGAUGCUUACGUUUACACGAGAAAUAUAAUUUCUCCUAAAAAUCUUUCAGGAACAGAAUUUGAUAUUGGCUGGAUCGCCGGGGUCAUUUCGACUGCCGGUUUAAUCUCCCUUAACUUGAUUCCCGAAACCUUAUUAGUUGAUAGCAUGGAAGAAAAUGUUGGUCUAACGAGAGCUUUUUUUGUACUGGCAAUGACGUUAACAGUAGGUGGUUUUGCAGCGGCAGUGGUUAUUUUCUUGCGAAUUUUUAAAGCUAAGCCUUCUUUUUACAUUGUUGUGA